rnacentral:lncRNA from 1 species
UGAUUAAUAGCUUUCUGCUUUACACUAUCUAUGUACGUUUGACAGUUAUGGUCAUUGGAAGGUUGUAUUCAUUCUUUCGGGCAACAACUGCGCCCAUUCAAUAGCAUACUUGUUCAUAUAUCCCAUUUAAUUGAUGAAUUAUGAUUUUCAACACGGAGUCUUGGCUCAGUCAGAACAGCAAGCUAUUGAGGCCCAAAAAAAUCAAUAGCAAGAAAAAAAAAAUUUCAAAUGACAAACAACAAUACACAAAACACAACACGGAAAACGAAUUACUGAAAAAUACAAGCCCAACAGGAACGGGGGUGAUAAAUUAUGAAUAUUUGUGUAGGUUCAUGAAGGUUGAACGAUCGAAACGAAGGGUGAGGGAAGAAGACUGCGAUUGAAAAAUCAAUAACGCAUUCCUCUGAGUUGUUGUAAGGAUUUUUUAUUUCCGUGUCUCUUUGUUUUAAACUUAUUAUUUACAUUAAAAAUAAUACAUGUGAAUAAACUGUACCUUUUUCCCAUGAAUAGUUUAAUAGAGGCACCAACAGUAUACCGCUUGUCGAAAGUCAUCAAUCGAUUGAGAAAAAAAAAAAAAAAACAAUUCGUGUAACUAACUAAACCCAAAUGAAAUUUUUUAUAAACUAAUAUCAUUACUGGCAAAACAAAACCAAAUCAAUUGAAAAAUAUGUACCAUAACGAAACUAACAAAAAAAGAAAUAAAGAAAUAUUUGCCCAUAGGAAAAAGUGUCUAUCCUCGUUUUUUCCAUUUUCAGUUAACCAUGAGAUAUAAAUAGAUAAACAAUCAGUUAUUAUUAGUAUCUGUGUCUAGUGUAUAAUUAAAUACCAACGAAAAAACACGAAUUGAAAACAGAACGAAAACACCAUCGGUAAGAAAAAACACGGAAGAAAAAAUAAACAAUGCAUUAAACACCGAGCUAAUAUAUAAAAAAAAUCAUCAAAUCUAAACAACCAC